rnacentral:rRNA from 1 species
UGGGGAAUAUUGGACAAUGGGCGAAAGCCUGAUCCAGCCAUGCCGCGUGUGUGAAGAAGGUCUUCGGAUUGUAAAGCACUUUAAGUUGGGAGGAAGGGCAUUAACCUAAUACGUUAGUGUUUUGACGUUACCGACAGAAUAAGCACCGGCUAACUCUGUGCCAGCAGCCGCGGUAAUACAGAGGGUGCAAGCGUUAAUCGGAAUUACUGGGCGUAAAGCGCGCGUAGGUGGUCUGUUAAGUUGGAUGUGAAAUCCCCGGGCUCAACCUGGGAACUGCAUUCAAAACUGACUGACUAGAGUAUGGUAGAGGGUGGUGGAAUUUCCUGUGUAGCGGUGAAAUGCGUAGAUAUAGGAAGGAACACCAGUGGCGAAGGCGACCACCUGGACUAAUACUGACACUGAGGUGCGAAAGCGUGGGGAGCAAACA